rnacentral:misc_RNA from 1 species
GAUGAAGAACGUAGCGAAAUGCGAUACGUAGUGUGAAUUGCAGAAUUCAGUGAAUCAUCGAAUCUUUGAACGCACAUUGCACCUCUCGGUAUUCCGGGAGGUAUGCCUGUUCGAGCGUCAUUUGUACCCUCAAGCUCUGCUUGGUGUUGGGUGUUUGUUCCGCCUCUGUGUGUGAACUCGCCUCAAAACAAUUGGCAGCCGGCGUACUUGUUUCGGAGCGCAGCACAUUUUGCGAUCCAGAUCAACGUACAGCGGCAUCCAAGAAGCCUUAUUUAACGCUCUUGCCCUCGGAUCAGGUAGGGAUACCCGCUGAACUUAAGCAUAUCAAUAAGCGGAGGA